UUAAAAAUGAAAGUAAACUUUAUAUAAAAGUCGUAAUAAAAAGAUGAAGCUCAGUUUGUUAUAAGAAUAUAUCAGAAAGAUGGAACCAUUACAGAAAAGAAAAAAGAAAAAUUAAAAGUAUGAAUUUAUAUGUAAGAAUGGUGGGAUGGUGAUGAAGAUGAUGACGACUUUGAUAGCGAAGAUGUUAAUGAUUUUAAUGUUGAUGAUAAUAAUAAUGAUGGUGAUAAACAAAGGACUAAGCGAACCACGUAACCAUGGAAUUGGUACGUUUUUCUGUGAGACGUUCAGAAAAAUCAUGACGUUCGAAAGAUUUGAAAAAAAUCUUUUUGUUUUUGUUAUGGAAUCUGAAAAUUGUUCGUUGCUCGAUCAAAUCUGAAAGUUUUUUAUAAGAUUUGAAUAGAACCUUCUUUCCCAACUAAUUUGAGAUGCAUUUCGAAACGGAACCGAACUUAGUUUGUGUUAUGUAAUCCUUACUUGGAAUUAGAUAGAUGAAGUUAUUCAUCAUAUACGUUGAAAGAAGAGUACAGCAACGAAAUGACCUUAAUAUAGUUAAUUGAUUCGAUUAGGGGUGGAAAAUGUAUACACAAGUUAUUUAUUACACGUUUAUG